rnacentral:rRNA from 1 species
GUCUACGGCCCUGCCACCCUGAACACGCCUGAUCUCAUCGGAUCUUGGAAGCUAAGCAGGGUCAGGCCUGGUUAGUAUUUGGAUGGGAGACCACCUAGGAAUACCAGGUGCUAUAGGCU